rnacentral:rRNA from 1 species
UUCUGGUUGAUCCUGCCGGAGGUCACUGCUAUUGGGAUUCGACUAAGCCAUGCGAGUCGAGAGGGUUCGGCCCUCGGCUGACUGCUCAGUAACACAUGGAUAAUCUGCCCUAAGGUGGAGGAUAACCUCGGGAAACUGAGAAUAAUACUCCAUAAGUCUAAGAUACUGGAAUGUUCUUAGGCUGAAAACUCCGGUGCCUUAGGAUGAGUCUGCGGACUAUCAGGUUGUAGUCAGGGUAAAGACCUGACUAGCCUACAACGGAUACGGGUUGUGAGAGCAAUAACCCGGAGACGAUAUCUGAGACACGAUAUCGGGCCCUACGGGGCGCAGCAGGCGCGAAACCUUCACAAUGUGCGAAAGCACGAUGAGGGAAUCCCAAGUGCUUGCUCGUAAGAGUAAGCUGUUUUUAUGUCUAAAACGCAUAGAGAGUAAGGGCUGGGUAAGACGGGUGCCAGCCGCCGCGGUAA